rnacentral:rRNA from 1 species
CCUACGGGAGGCAGCAGUGGGGAAUAUUGCGCAAUGGGCGAAAGCCUGACGCCGCGACGCCGCGUGAGGGAUGAAGGUCUUCGGAUCGUAAACCUCUGUCAGCAGGGAAGAACGGUCACUUUGCUAAUCAGCAGUGCAUUGACGGUACCUGCAAAGGAAGCACCGGCUAACUCCGUGCCAGCAGCCGCGGUAAUACGGAGGGUGCGAGCGUUAAUCGGAAUUACUGGGCGUAAAGCGCUCGUAGGCGGUAUGUCAAAUCAAGGGUGAAAUCCCCGCGCUCAACGUGGGAACUGCCUUUGAAACUGGCAAACUGGAGUGUGUGAGAGGAUAGUGGAAUUCCAGGUGUAGGAGUGAAAUCCGUAGAUAUCUGGAGGAACAUCAGUGGCGAAGGCGACUAUCUGGCACAUAACUGACGCUGAGGAGCGAAAGCGUGGGUAGCAAACAGGAUUAGAUACCCCUGUAGUC